CCUACGGGGGGCAGCAGUGAGGAAUAUUGGUCAAUGGGCUUACGCCUGAACCAGCCAAGUCGCGUGAGGGAAGACUGCCCUAUGGGUUGUAAACCUCUUUUGUCAGGGAGCAACGCCGGCUACGUGUAGCCGGACUGAGAGUACCUGAAGAAAAAGCAUCGGCUAACUCCGUGCCAGCAGCCGCGGUAAUACGGAGGAUGCGAGCGUUAUCCGGAUUGAUUGGGUUUAAAGGGUGCGUAGGCGGAAUGCCAAGUCAGCGGUAAAAUCGCGGGGCUCAACCUCGCUCCGCCGUUGAAACUGGCGUUCUUGAGUGGGCGAGAAGUAUGCGGAAUGCGUGGUGUAGCGGUGAAAUGCAUAGAUAUCACGCAGAACUCCGAUUGCGAAGGCAGCAUACCGGCGCCCAACUGACGCUGAAGCACGAAAGCGUGGGUAUCGAACAGGAUUAGAUACCCGUGUAGUC
rnacentral:rRNA from 1 species